UUCAGUCAGUAAGGGAUCGUACCCGAAACCGACACAGGUGGUCAGGUCGAGAAGACCAAGGCGCUUGAGAGAACUCUGGUGAAGGAACUAGGCAAAAUAGUACCGUAACUUCGGGAGAAGGUACGCUGUUGAGGGUUAAGGAUUUACUCCGUAAGCCUUCGGCAGCCUCAGAAACUAGGCCGCUGCAACUGUUUAUUAAAAACAUAGCACUCUGCAAACACGAAAGUGGACGUAUAGGGUGUGAUGCCUGCCCGGUGCUGGAAGGUUAAUUGAUGGGGUUAGCUAACGCGAAGCUCUUGAUCGAAGCCCCAGUAAACGGCGGCCGUAACGAUAACGGUCCUAAGGUAGCGAAAUUCCUUGUCGGGUAAGUUCCGACCUGCACGAAUGGCAUAAUGAUGGCGGCGCUGUCUCCACCAGAGACUCAGUGAAAUCGAAAUCGCGGUGAAGAUGCCGUGUACCCGCGGCUAGACGGAAAGACCCCGUGAACCUUUACUGCAGCUUUGCACUGAACUUUGAUCUUACCUGUGUAGGAUAGGUGGGAGGCUUUGAAGCUCGGACGCUAGUUCGAGUGGAGCCAUCCUUGAAAUACCACCCUGGUAAUAUUGAGGUUCUAACCCAGGUCCGUUAUCCGGAUCGGGGACAGUGUAUGGUGGGUAGUUUGACUGGGGCGGUCUCCUCCUAAAGAGUAACGGAGGAGUACGAAGGUGCGCUCAGCGUGGUCGGAAAUCACGCGUAGAGUAUAAAGGCAAAAGCGCGCUUAACUGCGAGACCGACAAGUCGAGCAGGUACGAAAGUAGGUCUUAGUGAUCCGGUGGUUCUGUAUGGAAGGGCCAUCGCUCAACGGAUAAAAGGUACUCUGGGGAUAACAGGCUGAUACCGCCCAAGAGUUCAUAUCGACGGCGGUGUUUGGCACCUCGAUGUCGGCUCAUCUCAUCCUGGGGCUGAAGCAGGUCCCAAGGGUAUGGCUGUUCGCCAUUUAAAGAGGUACGCGAGCUGGGUUUAGAACGUCGUGAGACAGUUCGGUCCCUAUCUACCGUGGGCGUUGGAGACUUGAGAGGAUCUGCUUCUAGUACGAGAGGACCGAAGUGGACGAACCUCUGGUGUUCCGGUUGUCACGCCAGUGGCACUGCCGGGUAGCUAUGUUCGGAAGGGAUAACCGCUGAAAGCAUCUAAGCGGGAAGCCUACCUCAAGAUAAGGUCUCCCUGAGGGUUUAACCCUCCUAAAGAGCCGUUAGAGACCAUGACGUUGAUAGGUUCGGUGUGGAAGUGCAGCGAUGCAUGAAGCUAACGAAUACUAAUUGCUCGUGAGGCUUGACC
rnacentral:rRNA from 1 species